UAGAAAUAAACUCUAGUCGUCGAUGGCGACCGUACCAAAACCGACACAGGUGGGUGGGAAGAAUAUUCUUAGGCGCGCGAGAGAACUCUCGUUAAGGAACUCGGCAAAUUAUCCCCGUAACUUCGGGAGAAGGGGAGCUGUUGAAGGUGAAGAUAUUAACUAUCUGAGCGUUUGGCAGCCGCAGAGAAAUGGCCCAGGCGACUGUUUAACAAAAACACAGCACUAUGCGAAGUCGUCUAAGACGAAGUAUAUGGUGUGAUGCCUGCCCAAUGCCAAAAGGUCAAAAGGAGAAGUUAGCACUUUGGUGCAAAGCUUUGAAUUUAAGCCCUGGUGAAUGGCGGCCGUAACAAUAACGGUCCUAAGGUAGCGAAAUUCCUUGUCGGGUAAGUUCCGACCUGCACGAAUGGUAUAACGAUCUGGGCACUGUCUCAACGAGAGACUCGGUGAAAUUGUAGUAGCGGUGCAGAUGCCGUUUACCCGCAAUAAGACGGAAAGACCCCGUGAACCUUUACUGUACUCUGAUAUUGGCUCUUGACUUGUCAUGUGUAGGAUAACUGGGAGACUAUGAAGUCCCUUCGUCAGGAGGGAUGGAGUCACCGUUGAAAUACCAGUCUUGACAAGUCGAGAAUCUAACGAACUCCCCUGAAACUGGGAUUCGGACAAUGUCAGACGGGCAGUUUUGCUGGGGCGGUAUCCUCCUAAAGAGUAACGGAGGAGUCCAAAGUUUGCCUCAUCGUGGUUGGCAAUCACGAGUAGAGCGUAAAGGUAUAAGGCAAAUUAACUGUGAUACCUACAAGUCGAACAGAGACGAAAGUCGGGCUUAGUGAUCCGGCGGUGGAAAGUGGAAUCGCCGUCGCUCAACGGAUAAAAGGUACUCCGGGGAUAACAGGCUUAUCGCCACCAAGAGUUCACAUCGACGUGGCGGUUUGGCACCUCGAUGUCGACUCAUCGCAUCCUGGGGCUGAAGAAGGUCCCAAGGGUUUGGCUGUUCGCCAAUUAAAGCGGUACGCGAGUUGGGUUCAAAACGUCGUGAGACAGUUUGGUCCCUAUCUUUUGUGGGCGCAGGAUACUUGAGAGGAGCUGCUUCUAGUACGAGAGGACCGAAGUGGACGAACCAAUGGUGUUCCGGUUGUUCUGCCAAGGGCAUAGCCGGGUAGCUACGUUCGGAAAGGAUAAGCGUUGAAAGCAUCUAAACGCCAAGCCUCCCUCAAGAUAAGGUAUCCCUUUUAGACACCAUGUAGACUACGUGGUAGAUAGGUUGGGUGUGUAAACACAGCGAUGUGGUAGCUAACCAAUACUAAUCAGUCGACAGGCUUGACCAC
rnacentral:rRNA from 1 species